rnacentral:rRNA from 1 species
UCGGCAGGGACGAUAGUGACGGUACCUGCAGAAGCAGCUGCGGCUAACUACGUGCCAGCAGCCGCGGUAAUACGUAGGCAGCGAGCGUUGUUCGGAGUUACUGGGCGUAAAGGGUGUGUAGGCGGUUGCUUAAGUUUGGUGUGAAAUCUCCCGGCUCAACUGGGAGGGUGCGCCGAAUACUGAGUGACCCGAGUGCGGGAGAGGAGAGUGGAAUUCCUGGUGCAGCGGUGAAAUGCGUAGAUAUCAGGAGGAACACCGGUGGUGUAGACGGCUCUCUGGACCGUAACUGACGCUGAGACACGAAAGCGUGGGUAGCAAACAGGAUUAGAUACCCUGGUAGUCCACGCCCUAAACGAUGCAUAUUUGGUGUGGGCAGUUCAUUCUGUCCGUGCCGGAGCUAACGCGUUAAAUAUGCCGCCUGGGGAGUACAGUCGCAAGGCYGAAACUCAAAGGAAUUGACGGGGGCCCGCACAAGCGGUGGAGCAUGUGGUUCAAUUCGACGCAACGCGAAGAACCUUACCUGGGCUCGAACGGCUGGUCAACGGAGGUGGAAACACUUUUACCCCGCAAGGGGGUCCAGUCGAGGUGCUGCAUGGCUGUCGUCAGCUCGUGUCGUGAGAUGUUGGGUUAAGUCCCGCAACGAGCGCAACCCUUGUCCUGUGUUGCCAGCAUUGAGUUGGGAACUCGCAGGAGACCGCCAGGGAUAACCUGGAGGAAGGUGGGGAUGACGUCAAGUCCUCAUGGCCUUUAUGUCCAGGGCUACACACGUGCUACAAUGGGCGGUACAAAGCGCCGCGAACCCGCGAGGGGGAGCCAAUCGCAAAAAACCGUUCUCAGUUCGGAUUGCAGGCUGCAACCCGCCUGCAUGAAGCUGGAAUCGCUAGUAAUGGCAGAUCAGCACGCUGCCGUGAAUACGUUCCCGGGCCUUGUACACACCGCCCGUCACAUCACGAAAGUGGAUUGUACUAGAAGUCUGCAGGCUGACCCGCAAGGGGAGCAGCGGCCCAAGGUAUGAUUCAUGAUUGGGGUGAAGUCGUAACAAGGUAGCCGUAGGAGAACCUGCGGCUGGAUCACCUCCUUA